rnacentral:rRNA from 1 species
CUCGUAGGCGGCCAACUAAGUCGGACGUGAAAUCCCCAGGCUCAACCUGGGAACUGCGUCCGAUACUGGAUGGCUUGAAUCCGGGAGAGGGAUGCAGAAUUCCAGGUGUAGCGGUGAAAUGCGUAGAUAUCUGGGGGAAUACCGGUGGCGAAGGCGGCAUCCUGGACCGGCAUUGACGCUGAGGAGCGAAAGCCAGGGGAGCAAACG